CAUCUUUUAGACUUUAUGUCGACUAUACGUGAAAUCCAGACUAUAUGAUCAUGUUUUGUGAUUAACGGCUCGAGAUUGAUCAUCACUUUUAAUUGGAAUUUGGAUGCACGUGCCAUCUUCCACCGCAUAGUAGAAAAAUCCCUACAAUGCUGGUGAUAGCAUCUGUAGAGGCUCUUGGCAUAGAGGUGGUGGACAAUAAGGCUCUCUAGCUAGUUGCCGUUUGUUCAGGUUCUUGUUGCUAUAUGAUGGGUGAUGAUUAGACGUAAUAAUUUGUGUUUUGAAUUUUUAUUUUUGAG
rnacentral:lncRNA from 1 species